GGGCUGGUAGUCUAGUGGUUAUAGACCGACACGUUUUCGUGUCUCGAUCAAGACGCUGCCCUUACAAGGCAGAGGUCGGGAGUUCGACAGACUGACGUGCAUUUCAUGCGCGUCUUUGCGACGUUCUCCCCCGGCCCACCA
rnacentral:tRNA from 1 species